rnacentral:rRNA from 1 species
AACGUAGGUGGCAAGCGUUAUCCGGAUUUACUGGGCGUAAAGGGUGUGCAGGCGGGGGUACAAGUGGUGUAUGAAAUCGCUCGGCUAAACCGGGCGCUGGUAUGCCAGACUGUACUCCUAGAGUGCGAGAGAGGGGCGUGGAAUUCCGGGUGUAGUGGUGAAAUGCGUAGAGAUCCGGAGGAACCCCAGAGGCGAAGGCGGCGCCCUGGCUCGCAACUGACGCUCAGACACGACAGCAUGGGGAGCGAACGGG